rnacentral:rRNA from 1 species
UACGAAGGGGGCUAGCGUUGCUCGGAAUUACUGGGCGUAAAGCGCACGUUAGGCGGAUCUUUAAGUCAGGGGCGAAAUCCUGGAGCUCAACUCCAGAACUGCCUUUGAUACUGAGGACCUUGAGUUCGGGAGAGGUGAGUGGAACUGCGAGUGUAGAGGUGAAAUUCGUAGAUAUUCGCAAGAACACCAGUGGCGAAGGCGGCUCACUGGACCGGUACUGACGCUGAGGCGCGAAAGCGUGGGGAGCAAACGGG